rnacentral:rRNA from 1 species
CUUAUACAUGCAAGUCGAGCGCCUGUAGCAAUACAGGAGCGGCAGACGGGAGAGUAACACGUGGGAACGUGCCCUUUGGUUCGGAACAACACAGGGAAACUUGUGCUAAUACCGGAUAAGCCCUUACGGGGAAAGAUUUAUUGCCAAAGGAUCGGCCCGCGUCUGAUUAGCUAGUUGGUGAGGUAAUGGCUCACCAAGGCGACGAUCAGUAGCUGGUCUGAGAGGAUGAUCAGCCUCAUUGGGACUGAGACACGGCCCAAACUCCUACGGGAGGCAGCAGUAGGGAAUAUUGGACAAUGGGCGCAAGCCUGAUCCAGCCAUGCCGCGUGAGUGAUGAAGGCCUUAGGGUUGUAAAGCUCUUUCGGCGGGGAAGAUAAUGACGGUACCCGCAUAAGAAGCCCCGGCUAACUUCGUGCCAGCAGCCGCGGUAAUACGAAGGGGGCUAGCGUUGCUCGGAAUCACUGGGCGUAAAGCGCACGUAGGCGGACUCUUAAGUCAGGGGUGAAAUCCUGGAGCUCAACUCCAGAACUGCCCUUGAUACUGGGAGCCUUGAGUUCGGGAGAGGUGAGUGGAACUGCGAGUGUAGAGGUGAAAUUCGUAGAUAUUCGCAAGAACACCAGUGGCGAAGGCGGCUCACUGGCCCGAUACUGACGCUGAGGUGCGAAAGCGUGGGGAGCAAACAGGAUUAGAUACCCUGGUAGUCCACGCUGUAAACGAUGGAUGCUAGCCGUUGGCGGGUUUACUCGUCAGUGGCGCAGCUAACGCAUUAAGCAUCCCGCCUGGGGAGUACG